CAUAUCUAAGUGAAAACUAGAGGAUAAUGAAGAAUCCAACAGCAGACCAACAAGGGUCUGACGGACAAUUUGGAGCUUGUGAGAGUGUUCCCUUCCAGGAGAGGAAAAAGAGAGAAAAAAGGGUGUGCAAAGCCCAUGGACUCAGGUAUCACCAGAGCCCUCACCUACAGCUGAGCUCUCUUGUGUCUUCUCUUGUUACCUAGUUUCCAAAGAAGGUGCCAGGUGUUUGUUCACUUUCCAACCCCUGAGAACCAAGCUUCGAACCUAAUCCACUGAGCCCUUUGCUAACUCAACCCUGCUGGAUUUAUCCUGCCUUACUUAGCACAAGCUUUCUGGAUAUUUUGACUGCUUCAGAUGACUAUGGCUGUAAUUCUUUGUGAGGCUUUGCUGCACCAUUGCAAAGAAUUAUAAGACCCUAAAUACAGAAUGAAAAAAAAAAAAAACACAGAAAAAAAAAACCCACCAAAAAAAAAAAAAGAAGGAAAGAAGAAAAGAGGAACACCCCACACCCCUCAUCUGUGAAUAAAAGCUUUUAUAAGCAGCA
rnacentral:lncRNA from 1 species